GCACAUUGCAGCAAUCCGGGGGAAGGAGUCAUACGGAUGCAGUAGUCGAACGUAUCGAGCUGCGCCUGGACAGUAAUCACACACAGGAUCAGAAUUAUUCAAGCACAUCACAGCACGAAAUUACAACGGUAUGCACACGCUCUUGAAGUCACUUUACUUGGAAUUCAGCUACAGAAGGCUUAAGACACUGUUGUUUCACUUAACUUUGUAGCUCGUCGUCUCUUGGAAGUGCACUGAGGGCAAAAGUUAUCCCGAAAAGGUAUAUAUACACAGUCGGACAGCUAGUUGGUGCGGUACGUUGCAGAUUGGCAGUAAUUCUUUCCUCCCCGCCAGAGAACGGUGUGGGAAUGCUGAGGCCGCUGACAGCGGAAAGAAGUCGCGCGAAUCCGCGAGCAACAAAUGCGAAAGAAAUUUCAAUGUUUUAAUGGAAAAAAGGCAGGUGGAAGCUCACCAUUCCCCGUAGCAGGCUGGUGGUCGCUGUGGGAAUCUUACCACCGUCAGCACAACAACAAUGCACCAUCAACCAAGGUGGCCAGACGCUUUUCAGUCGCGCUGAUCAGCGAUCCGUAUCUCCUCUGUCCGGUGUCCUCUGCCCGAUGUACCUAGCUUUUCCUCCACCCGAUUAUGAGCGCACAUUUACAUAACCACGAAAAUUACGUGCGCAUUUUUCGUGUUGUUGUUGCACUCGUGACACACCGUAGGAAGCUCCAAAUUGAAAACAAAACUGCUUCCCAACUCCCCCGCGAGCGGUUCGGAAGCGAAAGAAAGGAAAAGUGGCCAUCGGAUAAAAAAGUGUGGCGCGAGUAGACCUAAGCGAGUAGUUCCAAGAUGACCGAUUGUUUUCGCAGAAUAGGUAAAGCACGUUUCCCAUCAAGUGCUGAGGCGGUUAUGGGGUGAAAAAGGUUGCGCCUAUGUCAAUUUUAUUUCCCGAAAAAGGGCCCAUGACGUCAUUGGAGAGUGGAAAAAAGUGAACCACAUGAUGAACCCAUUGAACUAAUUCCAUUUCAACCCUAUGAAGGUGCCCUUAAAGCACACCCAAAACGCAUCAUAACGCACGUUGGCGCAAGCGAGAUUGUUGCCCUGGUCUGGGAGAAGGAGUGGCAAAAUGUGAAAAGGAAGGGUUAGGUUUUCCUGGCUAUUAAAAUUUGUGUUUUUAUCUUCAUUGUGAGCUGCAGCUUACAACCCAACGGCACGAGAGGACAACAUACAGAAAAGGACACAAUUGACAGGUAAUUUUGUUAGGAAAAUUUUGGUACUCUGAAGCAAAAACCAAAAAAAGAAAAAAACACUCAGACCCCCUUGGGAAACUUCUACCUUUGGGCCGGCUGGGCGCAUGAUUGAGUGGGAGGUUUAAUUUGUGGUACGUUUGUGGCGCCUCGGAUAAAAAAAGAACGUCCCCGGGUGGAAACUAGCCGAAAGCAUAGUCAUGUUCGCACCGAAGGAUGUAAUCAGCGGAAGUGAUUACGCAAAAAGUGACCGCUCAUAUACCUGCCGUGACCAAAAAAGUGUUUUUGCUCGUUUUUUUUUUGCAUCUUUGUAUGCAAAAUCCCAUUCCCGCGCGUAAUGGAGCUUUACCGAAACAGUGUGAGUAGUUUGCAGAGCAGGUUCGGACCGGCCAAAAAGUUGGUGGUCACGAAAGUGCUCAUCAUUGCGGCGAUACGGUUCCGUGACCACUUAGUAUGGCCGUUUGCGGGUGGUCGAUGGAAAGAUAAAGACAUCCCACAAGUGGAGUAGCAAAAACAUUGCCUCUGCGGAAUUGUGUUUGUGUGUUUUUUUUGUAUGUGCAGGAAAGUGCGUGAAAUGAGAGGAUGAAAUAAAAAAAACGGAAACAUAACGCAAUUCCCAUCCCAAAUUGCAAACGCGGUAUAGUUUGCGAAUGGAAAAAAUACAUCCAGCCACUUGCACCUUGGCGGUCGCGAUCAUGCAAAAAUCCAUGCGACGAAAGUGAAAGUACCACUGGUUGACCGGCUCCAUCGGUUCAAGGGCCGGGAAGCAGGAACGAAAACUUGGGGAAGAAUGCGCUCCAUGAAGUAGCUCCAUGGCCGGAAGCGCUCGUGAGGACGCGGCACCGCCACCACCACCGGCACCGGGUCGGUUUCUUCUGCGGGAGUAAUUUUUCGGUGAAAUGAAUAUCUGAAUUCGCACGCAACAAUGGCUACGAUCUGGCAAAUUUCGCCGACAGGAAGGGAACGGACACGAGAUCGUUAGUCGGUCGUUUUGCGGACGCACCGGAGGGGUUUUUGAGAGGUUUUGUUGCGAAUCCCAUCUGCCUGUCCGCUUGUUUGGCGUUGCCACUUGUUUCCUUGUUUUGUGCGAAAGUGAUCUUUUGAUGGAAAGAUGUUUUGUUGGUUGGUUGUUUUUUGUUUUUGCAUUUUUUGUUGCUUCUUCUGCUCUCAUUUCUUUGUCGGGGAACACUGCCGCUUUGGCAGUGGGGGUAAUUAUUACGGUAGGGUUGUCACGCUGUGAGGAGUUUUGGUUUUAUUUUAAGCUUGUGCGGCACGACUUUUGUUUCGGAUGCAAUGGUUCUAUGAGUAAUAAAAGUAAAAGUAAAUGCGUAAUCUGGCGUCAUUUUGCUGAGGAGCGUUAGACAAUAGAUAGAGAAGCAAAAUGACCAUAACAAGCCCAAGUAAGCAGCAUCAUUCACGUAACAAUUUGUAAAUGUAUAAAUUAAAAAAAUCCUUACUUAGUGUACUAUCGUCUACCCCCUCAUAAAAAAUAGAAAUGCAAUAAAAGCGAACAUAUCCAAUUGAUUUUAUACAAAUAUUUUUUUUAAAUUUUAGAAUCAGUUUUUAUCAACAUAAAAUCUCUCUAGUUUAGUCGAAUGUGAUAUUGUACCAUAUAAAAACUGGCGUAAUAAAAAAUCGUAUUUUUCAUAUUUAUUUAAUUAAUUAGUCAUCUGGCUUCAAGGAGCCUACAUCACCGUACUUAAAAUAAAUUCCUUAUUCCUAUUCUGUUAGAAACUAAUUUAGGUUGGUAAACAGGUGAUAUGUAAAGUAAUCGUUAAUUCUUCCAAGUUCAUAUCAAAAUCUACACUAUAGUCUAAAGCGUUAUAGGAUUUAAUCAUGCUAGACAAUGGGUAAGUUUAUAUAUUGGUAAGUUUUACGUUUAUGUUCCAAAGAUUCUAAACAAAAAGUAAACACUUUGUUCUAUAAGAAGGAUAGGGCCUAUGGAAUGCGAUAAAAUAGUAUACAUACAUAGUACAUUUUCGUUGAAUUGCUUCAAUCCUAUUUAUCCUGUAUUGUUGCACUGGGAACAAUAGCGCUUUACACAGCUUUUAAGCAUAAAGGGUCCCUUAAUGAACCACAAAACCUAACAGACGAAGAGUUUUAGAUAUUGUGGUUUCGAAUGAGCCUGGAAAGUUAUUUUGGUGUCUAUAAAAUAUAAAAUAAAACCACAACCAACUACCAACUCUGUGUUUUACCUCGUCCAACACGGUUAGGCGUAAUAAAAUUUGCAAUUCAAUUUAUUUUCGUAGCGAUCAACAAUACUCUGCAUAACAGUAUGAUAAAAAAUCGAUUACAGUGGAGUGGUCGUAUGAGCACCGUUCGGAAUUUGACUUUGGGAAUUUGGGAUAACAUUUUAAAUUAUUUAUUUACACACAUUGGCAUGGUUUUUUUUAAAUUGCAUUCUUCUAAAAAUUAUAGUUGAAUUUUCGAUACGAUUAGUUCAUAAAAAUAUCUGAAAUGUUUGUGAAAAUGGUUGUUUUGAAUAACGAUAGCAUAAAAUGCUUCAUUAUUCAUAUUGUACGGUCAUUUCUGAACAGCACGGAUAGAAAAACAGCGAAUAUUUGCGAUUGGUGUAAAAAGACCCUCCGUUGUAUUUAAAUUGGUAAACAUCGUUAAUAACACGUCAGAUUGUUGGUAAAAAUGUCAUCAAAAGCCACUGCGGUGUAAAAAAAAGAAUGAUGAUAGCUACCGACAGCUUGUAAAAUCGGUAAAAAGUUUAAAAUGUGGUGCGUAUGACGGCCAAUGUCCCAGAGUACGUGAAGAAAAAAAAAGCAAUUGACGCACAAAAUAUCCUUUGGAGUUUCUUUUAUUUCCACUGUUUCAUGGCACGAUUAAAUAUGGUCAUCGUAUCGUUUUUCCCAAGCGAAAAGAGAUUGUUAUUGCGCUCAAAGGAUAUUACAUUUUACACAAGCAAGCAUCAUAAGGACAGUGCAGAGAGUGGAAAAAGAGCUGUUUGUAUUUGUGUGUAUCCCAUUUAUCUCCAUAAUCAAGUGUACUCCAAUCAUGAAGUGCAUUCACCUCACCAGAGAGCAACACUAGGUCAACACCAACCGCUAUAGAUAAACAAAUUGGGGGAAAAUUGCACCGAACAAAAAGGGUUUACGGUUCACUUACUCACUGUGGAAAAGCACUGCAACACCCUGCUAGCCGCCCAAAUGGGGAUUCACUGUGUGCUACUUGUUGUAGCAUACGGGAGCGUGUGUUACUUUUGGGUAGUGGUAGACCCUCGGACCGGCACGAAAAAAAGUAGGUAAACGCCAACAGUACAGCUAAUAGCAUCAAAGUUGAUUGAUCGAGCAAUUUACGGAGCGAGGUAAUAAUCAAGCUGUACCAACAACUGUUAACCUUUUAGCGCCACGGCUUGGCUGGGUUUGGCGGAUACGCUGUUACACGACGGUAAUGCAGCUCACCACCACCCCACCGGUACAUACACAAACAGAAAUUAUCCGCUCUAAGCCGUGAUAAUACAGGUAGGUGGGUAGGGUUGGGCGAAUAGGAGGGUGUUAUUUUUCCAUGCGAGUGUUUUGAUGCUUUCAGUAGCAAUAACAACAGCAGCAGUAGCAUUCUGCAUAUGUUUAAAUCGCAAUAUUCCAUUAGAUCUUUUCAACCAAUGUUUCUAGCCAGCGUGUACAGUGCGAGCUCGAAAGCAAGUGAUCACGGUAGUCGGAUCUUGCAAUCAAUUUUUCAUUUCACUUCCAUUCUUGUUGCGGUUGUUGGAAGAAUUUUGGAAGAUAAUAAUACUUUUUCAUAAAAAAAGGUAAUGAAAACAUCAGCAUCAACAACCAAAGUGCGUUAAAAUAAACCAUCCUACCCACAUACACACACACUCAUACUGUCGAUGAAGUGUCCGAACAACCCUGUUUGUUGAUGUGUACGGGGGCUGCUGCAUCAUAAAAAAUCAAACAGGUACUUCGGAAAUGGGCAGGAAAAGUUUCUCCGACCUAUCUCGGCACCGGUAUGUGGUUCGUCCCCCAACUUAAGGGAAGGGGGGGGGGGGGGGCGGAGUGGAACGGAGAAAUAGGAAACACUGUUGGCCCGGCAACUUGCCACGAUAAAGGCAAAGAGGCUACAUAAAAAAUGAUGGCGUAGUGGCGUAGCACUUAAAAGUAAAAAUAUUAUCGAAAGCAACCGAAAGGUUGAAUUGGCCCCACGUAUUUUUGUCUGCUGUUGCCAGGCUUUGGGAGCCAGCGGAGGGAGAGCGUAACGCGUGUUGCACCAUAUCCGAGAGUGAGUGAGAAGGAGGAGCAAGAGAAGGAAUUGUAUAUUCGACGCAUGAUGAUGCUGUUCGAAAAAACUUUCACCAGUAAUGACCGUUCUAAUUCAUGUUGCUGUUGUUGAUCCAUCCGUGGCCACGCACUGUCGGAGUGUAAAAACAACAAGAAGGUAGAUUUGUCUACCGUCCCGAAACAGAAGUACAUUCUUCCCCCGUUGGGCUGCUGAACGUACGAUGCCGUGUUGGGCCACAGGAAGCGGGAGGCAAAAGGCAACACUUUCGAUCUCAAGCCGUCCAGCCGUGUUGGAGCUUUUUGGAACACAGCCGUAGGCGAGAAUCCCGAACGUUUUCUCCUCACGCUCCUCCCUGCUGCUACUGACGCGAUGCUUCUUGACAUACAUUGCACUUUCCCUUCCUGGCGAAGAUACCCGUAGAGCAUUACACUGACUGUGUGGCAUUUGGGAAGGAGCGAAAGGAGAACGAGUUGAACGAAUGAAACCAAGCAGCAAAAAAAAAAAAAACAAGGUGAAGGACCGCACUCGAAGCGAAGACGAUGACGACAACCACGCCGCCAGUUUGAGGAUCACUUUCCCGAAAGCCGGUUUUUCUGGCGCAAUGACUUUUCGAAGGGAACACAGUCCCGGAAUCGUGAGGUUACGUUUCUUUCCUCUCGGGCCCUUUCGCUGUAAUUCUUGUUUUCUUUCCUUCUUCCCUUUAACCCCCACUGCAGUUCGUUGCACCGUUGUAAAAGUAGCGAUCUUCAGGAUCGUGAAAUGCUGCCCAAAUACUGCUGCCGUAAUGAAAUCCCACACGACACAACUUUCUUUUUAUUUUUUCGAUUCAUUUUAUUAUUUCAUUCCUGUCAAAUUUUUGUUUGGAUUGAUUUUCCCACCGAACGCAAACACGCGCCAAACGUGCGUGAAGCGCAAACGGAAAUGGGCGCAUUAAAGAUACAAUAAUUUAAACAAUAAAUAACAGAACAGAUCAUUCUUACAAAACGUUCUUUCCUGCCGCAGCCCCGCAGUGUCGCCUUGCCUUUCCCAUGGCGCAGCAUUGUCGUUCCUCUUUGGGGGGAGGAUUGGGAAAAGCACCUUGGGUAAUGCAAACUUGGAGGUCCUCUGAGCUUAAUCGGUACUGAUCGUGUUCCGCUCAACUGCCCUAGCCCAUUUUGUCUCGUGGUUGGAAUAGCUACAGACGAUAGUAUCUAGAGAAGACGAUGCACAGAUUGUGGAAUCAUAGCGUUUCCAGAAGAUAGAACGGCGGGGCGGAGUUCCUCGCCGUGUAGUAGUGUCAGCUGAGCUUACGCAUGCGAAGCGUGCGUGAAGAAAGUGAAAAGCUAGUUAGUUUAAUAUAAACUUUUGUGAGUGUUUAAAGUCAGCCCAUUGGCCACGGCUCGGACGGAAGCUGGCCGUCGAACCACCUGGAUUCGGGUCGUACCGCGCUGGUUGUUUGUGAGAACGGGCCGUUCUGAUUCGCCAAAACCGUUAUCUGUCACCAUUUUUUUUUCCUUCUCCUUUCGCCCAUUGCUCAGCGGAACCGGUUUGAGAUGCCAAA